rnacentral:misc_RNA from 1 species
GCUGAUCUACCCAUACGCACCCUGGCUCUCUUGACCAGUGGUAAGUGCUCAUCACCAUCUUCCUUCAAUUCCUUGGAAUUAUUUUCAUCAGAUUUUACAGGGUCGCCUGGCAAAACAUCUGUAGUUCUAGCAGUCAGUAUCUCCGGAGCUGCAUCUUUGUCUAACCCAGCAGAGGACUCGGAUAAAUCAAUCUGCAGCCUCUUUCUAUUUGGC